rnacentral:rRNA from 1 species
GCAAGUCGAGCGGAAACGAUGCUAGUUUACUAGCAGGCGUCGAGUGGCGGACGGGUGAGUAAUGCUUGGGAAUUUGCCUUUAGGUGGGGGACAACAGUUGGAAACGACUGCUAAUACCGCAUGAUAGCUACGGCUCAAAGGGGGCUUCGGCUCCCGCCUUUAGAGAAGCCCAAGUGGGAUUAGGUAGUUGGUGAGGUAAAGGCUCACCAAGCCCACGAUCCCUAGCUGGUCUGAGAGGAUGAUC